rnacentral:rRNA from 1 species
UACGUAGGUGGCAAGCGUUGUCCGGAUUUAUUGGGCGUAAAGCGAGCGCAGGCGGUUUCUUAAGUCUGAUGUGAAAGCCCCCGGCUCAACCGGGGAGGGUCAUUGGAAACUGGGAGACUUGAGUGCAGAAGAGGAGAGUGGAAUUCCAUGUGUAGCGGUGAAAUGCGUAGAUAUAUGGAGGACACCAGUGGCGAAGCGGCUCUCUGGUCUGUAACUGACGCUGAGGCUCGAAAGCGUGGGGAGCAAACAGGA